AUUGAACGCUGGCGGCAUGCCUUACACAUGCAAGUCGAACGGGCUUUGGGGGUUGCUCCAAAGUUAGUGGGGAACGGGGGAGUAAUAUAACGGUACGUAACAUAGAGUGGGUGAUAACUAGUCGAAAGACUGGCUAAUACCGUAUACGACCUAAGGAUGAAAGAGGGGGACCGCAAGGCCUCAUGCUCAUGGCAUGGCCGAUAUCCGAAUAGCUAGUUGGCGGGGUAAAAGCAUACCAAGGCGACGAUCAGCAGCUGGUCGGAGAGGACGAUCAGCCACACUUGGACUGAGACACGGCCCAGACUCCUCCAGGAGGGAGCAGUGGGGAAUAUUGGACAAUGGCCGAAACCCUGAUCCAGCAAUGCCGCGUGAGUGAGGAAGGCCUUCGGGUUGUAAAGCUCUUUUGUCAGGGAAGAAACGGUGGGGGCUAAUAUCCCCUGCUAAUCACGGUACCUGAAGAAUAAGCACCGGCUAACUACGUGCCAGCAGCCGCAGUAAAAC
rnacentral:rRNA from 1 species